CUCGUAGGCGGCUUGUCGCGUCGGCUGUGAAAACCUGGGGCUCAACUCCGGGCCUGCAGCCGAUACGGGCAAGCUAGAAUUCGGUAGGGGAGACUGGAAUUCCUGGUGUAGCGGUGAAAUGCGCAGAUAUCAGGAGGAACACCGGUGGCGAAGGCGGGUCUCUGGGCCGAAAUUGACGCUGAGGAGCGAAAGCGUGGGGAGCAAACA
rnacentral:rRNA from 1 species